rnacentral:rRNA from 1 species
AGAAAAGUUUUCAAAACGAACCAACAAAACUUUUUAAGACUUUUACAACUCACAAGUACCCCAAGGGAAAGUUGAAAUAAAAUGAAAAUAAAAAGGAGAAGAAGAGAAAGUCGUACCUUUUGUAUUAUGGUUUAACAAGAUUACCAGGAUAAUUAUCCAACCCCCGAAAUCCAGAGAGCUAAUCCCCACCAUUCGAAGGAAUUUUAUCACUUACUGUUUCAAGAGUAAAGUAAGAGUAAGGAUUAGAAAUGAAAUGUUAAACGCGCUGGAUGAUAGCUGGUUUCCUAAGAAAUAGGUUUUAGCCUACUCCCCUUAUAAAUCACCAAAUCCCUUCAAGAAAGACACCAGAAAUUCAACGUUAAAAAGGAGAAGAAGAGAAGAGGAGACAAGUUCUCUUCUCAAAAAGGAAACAACCAGGAAAUAAGGAAAGGACAAAAUAACUGUUAAAGAGAAACUCCCAAGUAGGCCUAAAAGCUGCCAUCUAAAAGAAAGCGUUAAAGCUCAAGUAACAAAUUUUAUCUUAAAAUAAAUGAAAAAUUCCCCAAACCUUUUUUUAACUAUUAGGACACGACGAUAAUGUUAAAACGAGUAAGAAAAAGAAACUUUUCAGCCGAUAAGGGAAAUUUAACUUCUUAACCAAGGAAACUUUUUAAUUUUUAUAUAACGAACAUAAGAAACAUAUUAUCCCAAUCCGACACAGGUAUCAAAAAAAAAGGUGAAAAGAAAAGGAAGGAACUAGGCAAAGAUUUAGAAGAUGACUGUUUACCAAAAACAUAGCCCCCUGCAAUUAAUUACAUAGGGGGUGCAGCCUGCCCAGUGGAAUUUUAUAUCUAAACGGCCGCGGUAUCUUGACCGUGCAAAGGUAGCAUAAUCACUUGUCUCUUAAAUGGGGACCCGUAUGAAUGGCUUCACAUCUUCAAACUGUCUCCCUUUUCUCCCUCAUAAACUUCUACACACGUGAAGAAGCGUGUAAAAGUAAGAAAGACGAGAAGACCCUGUCGAGCUUUAGUCAACACCGAAACAACUAAAACUCUUAGAGAAUACAACCCUUUCGGCAUAGACUUUGGUUGGGGCAACCGUGGAGAAAAAUAAACCUCCAGACAAUUAGGCAGAAAUCUCUUCUUCUCAAAAUUUUAAAACGAACCAGUUCUUUUCUGGGAAACGGAAAAAGUUACCGCAGGGAUAACAGCGUUAUCUCCUCUAAGAGCUCAUAUUGACGAGGAGGUUUGCGACCUCGAUGUUGGAUUGGGGUAACCUAAGGGUGCAGCAGCUCUUAAUGGUUGGACUGUUCGUCCAUUAAUCCCCUACAUGAUCUGAGUUCAGACCGACGUGAGUCAGGUCAGCUUCUAUCUUCUUUUAAUUUUUCCCAGUACGAAAGGACCGGAAAAAUGUCUUCAAUAAUUUACAUCAAAAGACAAACAACAAAAACUACUUUCUAUGAAAAACAAAG